rnacentral:rRNA from 1 species
GACGAACGCUGGCGGCGUGCUUAACACAUGCAAGUCGAACGGAAAGGCCCCUUUGGGGGUACUCGAGUGGCGAACGGGUGAGUAACACGUGAGUAACCUGCCCUUGCCUUCGGGAUAACUUCAGGAAACUGGGGCUAAUACCGGAUAGGAAUCCUUGCUGCAUGGUGGGGGUUGGAAAGCUUCGGCGGUUUUGGAUGGACUCGCGGCUUAUCAGCUUGUUGGUGGGGUAGUGGCUUACCAAGGCUUUGACGGGUAGCCGGCCUGAGAGGGCGACCGGCCACAUUGGGACUGAGAUACGGCCCAGACUCCUACGGGAGGCAGCAGGGGGGAAUAUUGCACAAUGGGCGGAAGCCUGAUGCAGCAACGCCGCGUGCGGGAUGACGGCCUUCGGGUUGUAAACCGCUUUCAGCAGGGGCGAAGCUUGUGGUGACGGUACCUGCAGAAGAAGCACCGGCUAACUACGUG